rnacentral:rRNA from 1 species
UACAGAGGUCCCAAGCGUUGUUCGGAUUCACUGGGCGUAAAGGGUGCGUAGGUGGUUAGGUAAGUCCGAUGUGAAAUCUCCAGGCUUAACCUGGAAAUGGCAUUGGAUACUAUUUAGCUUGAGGAGUGGAGGGGGGACUGGAAUUCUCGGUGUAGCAGUGAAAUGCGUAGAUAUCGAGAGGAACACCAGUGGCGAAGGCGAGUCCCUGGACACUUCCUGACACUGAGGCACGAAAGCUAGGGGAGCAAACAGG